rnacentral:rRNA from 1 species
UGGCUAACUCCUACGGGAGGCAGCAGUGGGGAAUUUUGCACAAUGGGGGCAACCCUGAUGCAGCGACGCCGCGUGAUUUAGAAGGCCUUCGGGUUGUAAAAAUCUUUUGUAUGGGAAGAAAAUGACAGUACCAUACGAAUAAGGACCGGCUAAUUACGUGCCAGCAGCCGCGGUAAUACGUAAGGUCCGAGCGUUGUCCGGAAUCAUUGGGCGUAAAGGGUACGUAGGCGGAUAAGCAAGUUAGAAGUGAAAUCCUAUAGCUCAACUAUAGUAAGCUUUUAAAACUGCUCAUCUUGAGGUAUGGAAGGGAAAGUGGAAUUCCUAGUGUAGCGGUGAAAUGCGCAGAUAUUAGGAGGAAUACCGGUGGCGAAGGCGACUUUCUGGCCAUAAACUGACGCUGAGGUACGAAAGCGUGGGUAGCAAACAGGAUUAGAUACCCCGGUAGUCCAGCUGG